rnacentral:rRNA from 1 species
GACGAACCGUACGAACGUUAUUCGGAAUCAUUGGGCUUAAAGGGUGCGUAGGCGGUGCGGAAAGUUGGGUGUGAAAUCCCUCGGCUCAACCGAGGAAUUGCGCCCAAUACUACCGUGCUCGAGGGAGACAGAGGUAAGCGGAACUUAGGGUGGAGCGGUGAAAUGCGUUGAUAUCCUAAGGAACACCAGUGGCGAAAGCGGCUUACUGGGUCUCUUCUGACGCUGAGGCACGAAAGCUAGGGGAGCAAACGGG